AGUUCGUCCAGCGGAAAAAGGCCACAAAAACGGGUGGGCUAUAGGCUUGGGGGGUGGGGCGGGCCAACUUCGUCCGCCGGACUCGGAAUGGCGCGAGACUUUGCGAGGAACCUCCGUGUACCAAAAAUAGGCCGCGGGCAAAGCCGCGCCCAAAAAUAACCGCCCGAAGGCCGGGGCGCCAAGUUCGUCCAGCGGAAAAAGGCCACAAAAACGGGUGGGCUAUAGCCUUGGGGGGUGGGGCUGGCCAACUUC
rnacentral:lncRNA from 1 species